rnacentral:misc_RNA from 1 species
UUUCCGUAGGUGAACCUGCGGAAGGAUCAUUAAUGAAUUUUACGCCCUAGUCUUAACUGAUAGGGGCUGGUUCUAUCCAUAACACCUGUGCACUGUUGGAUGCUUGCAUCCACUUUUAAACUAAACAUUAUUGUAACAAAUGUAGUCUUAUUAUAACAUAAUAAAACUUUCAACAACGGAUCUCUUGGCUCUCGCAUCGAUGAAGAACGCAGC